GACGAACGCUGGCGGUGUGCUUAACACAUGCAAGUCGAACGGAAAGGCCCUGCUUUUGUGGGGUGCUCGAGUGGCGAACGGGUGAGUAACACGCGAGUAACCUGCCCCUGAUAUUGGGAUAACUUCAGGAAACUGGGGCUAAUACCGGAUAGGAGCUUCUGCUGCAAGGUGGGGGUUGGAAAGUUUCGGCGGAUGGGGAUGGACUCGCGGCUUAUCAGCUUGUCGGUGGGGUAGUGGCUUACCAAGGCUAUGACGGGUAGCCGGCCUGAGAGGAGAGCCGGACACGUUAGGACUGAGAUGCGGCACAGACCAGUACCGGAGGCAACGGUGGGGAAGGUUACUCAAUGGGCGGAGGCAUGGUGUGGCAAAGCCGCGUGGGGGGUGACGGGAUUCGGGUUGUGACCCACUUUCGCCUGUGACGGGGCGUGGAUGACGGUAAUGGGUAAAGAAGCACCGGCUAACUACGUG
rnacentral:rRNA from 1 species